GUCGAGAAUCUUCGGCAAUGGGCGCAAGCCUGACCGAGCGACGCCGCGUGGAGGACGAAGGCCUUCGGGUUGUAAACUCCUGUCGAGGGGGAAGAAGCCGCAAGGUUGACUGAUCCCUGGAGGAAGCACGGGCUAAGUUCGUGCCAGCAGCCGCGGUAAGACGAACCGUGCGAACGUUAUUCGGAAUCACUGGGCUUAAAGCGCGUGUAGGCGGAACGGCACGUCGGUCGCUGAAAGCCCCCGGCUCAACCGGGGAAUGGGCGCCGAUACGACCGUUCUGGAGGAACGUAGGGGGACCUGGAACUUCCGGUGGAGCGGUGAAAUGCGUUGAGAUCGGAAGGAACGCCCGUGGCGAAAGCGAGGUCCUGGACGUUUUCUGACGCUGAGACGCGAAAGCCAGGGGAGCGAACGGGAUUAGAAACCCUAGUAGUCC
rnacentral:rRNA from 1 species